CCUAACAUUUCUAUUUCUGUUAACUGUUUCAGAAGAUUACACAAUUCAUAUAAUGUGUUUAAAAUGAUUGAUAUGACGUGUCUUGAUUCUCACUGCUCUGUAGGUGAUGCUUGUCUCUAUGAAACAAUCAGAGGCUCUAAAGAACCUGAACAUUGUACAGUAUAUACUGUGUUCAUCACAGAGCUGUUAGAAAUAUAUGAUGAUUUCAGGAAAUGCACAAUCUCCUUAAUAUAUAAAAAAUCUUUCUUUCAGCUGAAUCCAGGCUCACAUAUUCUGUGGUUGAGCUUAGAAACAUUCCUAAAAAGAGGAAGAAUAAGGAACUGGACGAGAGCACUGUUUACUCUGAUGUGAAGACGGCAUCAGCUGCAGAUGACAAUUUGUUGUAUGCCCAAGUUCACCCUCGCACCAAAGAUAAGAAAGCUAAAGGUGAGUAAAGUCAACAUCCACCUGCAGCUGUUACUCUCCAACAGGCUUGUGUUUGACACAGUGUGAUGUGAGUUCUGUGUGCAUCCAAAACAAACAUCUUUUAAGAUGUAGAAAACGGGAUUCCUCCUUCAACUAUUAUUGUAACUUAUUCUGCCUAAUGUCGUAAUCUAGUUUGUCUUGUGUGUUUCUUUUGUAGACUAUAUUUACUUUUUGCAUAUCUGAGAAAAACAUGCAUCAGUACAUCAGUACGGUACAUUAUUUUUAACUGGGUCAUUACUGGCAAACAUAUAUAUUAAAAAAAAUCAUCUUUCCAUUCACAGGAAAAUCCAGAUGUGCAGCAGCAGAGGAAGCAGUUUAUUCUGAAGUCAAACCAGGAGCUCGUGAUCAAUGAAGACAUCUGUAUGGACAAAACCGGUCAACAUGAAGACCAAAAUCUUUUUAAUUAAUAUCUGCAGCUUUUUUUUAUGUAAUCAUCUUUGCUGUCUGAAUAACAGACAGUAUUUUUUUUACAGUUAAUCUAUUAGCAAAGAAAUAAAUGCAUCAUAUGGCUUUAAUCUUCUGUAUUUUUUAAAGUUUGGUUGACCUUUUAAAUGCUUCAAUAAACUUUUGUUCCAGCAACAUGCUGUCUGUCUCAUAA